UACGUAGGGUGCGAGCGUUGUCCUGAAUUAUUGGGCGUAAAGGGCUCGUAGGCGGUCUGUUGCGUCAGGAGUGAAAACUCGGGGCUUAACCCCGAGCCUGCUUCUGAUACGGGCAGACUAGAGGUAUGCAGGGGAGAACGGAAUUCCUGGUGUAGCGGUGAAAUGCGCAGAUAUCAGGAAGAACACCCGUGGCGAAGGCGGCUCUCUGGAACGCAACUGACGCUGAGACGCGAAAGCGUGGGGAGCAAACAGG
rnacentral:rRNA from 1 species